AUUGAACGCUGGCGGCAUGCCUUACACAUGCAAGUCGAACGGCAGCACGGGGGGUAACCCCUGGUGGCGAGUGGCGAACGGGUGAGUAAUAUAUCGGAACGUGUCCUGUAGCGGGGGAUAACCUAUCGAAAGAUGGACUAAUACCGCAUACGACCUACGGGUGAAAGCGGAGGACCGCAAGGCUUCGCACUAUAGGAGCGGCCGAUAUCGGAUUAGCUAGUUGGCGGGGUAACGGCCCACCAAGGCGACGAUCCGUAGCUGGUCUGAGAGGACGAUCAGUCACACUGGAACUGAGACACGGUCCAGACUCCUACGGGAGGCAGCAGUGGGGAAUUUUGGACAAUGGGCGCAAGCCUGAUCCAGCCAUGCCGCGUGAGUGAAGAAGGCCUUCGGGUUGUAAAGCUCUUUCGGCGGGGACGAAACGGUUCGUGCUAAUACCACGGACUACUGACGGUACCCGCAGAAGAAGCACCGGCUAACUACGUG
rnacentral:rRNA from 1 species